AAGAUAUUAAUGUGAAAAGCGUGAGUCCCGUUUUUGCCACACAAAGUGUAACCUCUAGAGGCGUGGUCAGCGGGAGGGCAGCACUAAGUUUCUUGAAGCAGGCCUUAAGGUAGGACGGCAGUGCUGUCCUUUGCCUUGCUUGCUGUUUCACAAGUACUUCAAGGCUUUUCUCUGUCGCGUUUAUUGGGAUUUGAGCGGAAAGUUUGUGGCAAGUUUCACGGAAAGUUAGAUAUUGACGUGAGACCGAAAGCGAACAAGUAUAGCCGAGGAAAGGUGGAAAUGCCCUUGGAAAGUGAUAAUAGUGUCUGAGAGUGCUGGGGGGGAGGAGGUCGGAACCUUCGUGUUUCCGGGUUGAUGGUGGGUUGCAAUGGUCGUCUCUGCCAUGCCUUCUUCAUAGGGGUUGGGGGCGCGCGUUACUGCUGUUGUCCAUUAUGACCCCUGGUUGCUGGUCAGCAUUAGCGGGAGCCUAACUGUUCUACGCAAGCAAGGUAGGUCCCUCAUGAGCUAUUAUAGCGUUUGGGUUCGUGUCGUUCAGGUGUCUGUUGAGAUGUGUUUUCGGCGUUCGGUGGCAACGCUUUCGAGCAGCGUCGUUAUGCGAUGCUGUCCCAUACGGUUUCAGCCAACCCGUCGUGAAGCACGGACCAAGGAGUCUAGCAUCUGCGCGAGUAUGACAGUAGAAACCCUGUAUGCACUGUGAAAGUCAGAGUAGGGAGAUGUUUGCCUCUGGCACGUUCCGCAUCUACGACAGCCACGAGCUCUGUGAGAGAUUUGAGUUGUAGCACAUCUGUUAGGACCAGAUAUAUGGUGAACUAUGACUGAGUAGGAUGAAGUCAGGCGAAAGCCUGAUGGAAGCUCGUAGCGAUAGUGACGUGCAAAUCGUUCGUCAAACUUGGGUAUAGAGGCGAGAAACUAAUCGAAUCGUCUAGUAGCUGGUUUCUCCCAAAGUAUCUCUCAGGAUAACUGGAGUCCAAUUAGUCUUAUCAGGUAAACCGGACAAUUGGAUUUUUUGCGGGCGAGUUACUCCCGACCUAUUCUCAAGUUUUAAAUGAGUUAGAUUCAGUGGUUACCUCGUUGAACUGCUGAAGCUAAUAUUAGCUUCAGCAGUUGAGCUCCAUGGGGCAUUUUUGGUAAAAAAACUGGCGAUGUGAGAUGCUCCUGACGUUCGGUUAAGGAGUCUAAAUACUGGCUCAGACACCACAAGAUGUUUUAGAUCAUUUUUACCAGCAGGAUGGUGGUCAUGGAAGUCCAAAUCCGCUAAGAAGUGUGCAACAACUUACGUUCCGAGUGAACCAGCCCUCAAAUGCUGCGGCAGGCUGCCGGUACCAGGCCAUUAUGGCAGGUUUCGAGAACUCGAGGUUUUGCAAUAAUGAGUAGGAAGACGUGGGGACCGUUCCGAAGUAUUUGGCGACUGCCUGUGUUGAACGGCCUCUAGUAGAUGUUGGCUGCAAUAGCAAAUAUUCAAGUGAUAACUUUGAAGACUGAAGCGCAGAAGGGUUCCAUGCUAACAGCAAUUGGACAUGAUUUAGCCUGUCGUGAGUGACAGCUUAACUGCGGGAAUUUCUGGGUUUUACUGUCCCUGUUUUUUGAGGAAGGGAAUCAGUAUAAUAUUCCUUUCCUGAGUCAAAACUUGGGAAGUGUGCGGUAUCGUACAUGAACUCCUCGACGCAAGCGGGCUCCCUGGGAAGCGUCGUUUUGACCUCUUAACAACAUCUUUUCAAACAUACCCUGCAGUCAGAUUUUCUGAAGGUAGGGUUGAGUGGUUGUCAAUGGUUCGUGGCCUUCAGGGAGUCUGGUGCGCUCCUGACCUCUCUUCAAAAGAGAAGGGAAAGUUGUGGUUUGCACCCCUGGCCGCAUCAUUAACCCCAUCUGGCCUCCAAGGUUAGUAUCCUCUGAUC
rfam:Eimeria brunetti, Houghton, WGS project CBTX01000000 data, contig: Ebh_contig2541_1